rnacentral:misc_RNA from 1 species
AAUUCUCAAAAGCCUUUUCUUGAUCUUUGAGAAAAGGGUUUUGGACUUGGAGGAUCAAUGCUCACUCUCAGUUUUUGAAAGGGAGCUCCUCUUAAAUAAAUUAGUGGGGUUUGCUUUGCUGAUCCUUGACGUGAUAAAGUGAUUCUACGUUUUGAAUAUAGCAUUGUCAUUAUAAACACCCGCUUCUAAUCGUCCAUCCUAUGGACAAUGAUGGUGUUCUUGGUCACCGCUGCCUAUGUCAGUGAAGGGCUAGACCCACAAGAAAAAA